GCCGAAGUGGCGGAACAGGCAGACGCGACGGUCUCAAACACCGUUCCUGGCAACAGGGUGUGGGUUCAAAUCCCACCUUCGGCACCA
rnacentral:tRNA from 1 species